rnacentral:rRNA from 1 species
GGAUUAGAUACCCUGGUAGUCCACGCCGUAAACGAUGAUAACUAGCCGUUGGAUUUAUCCAGUGGCGCAGCUAACGCGUUAAGUUAUCCGCCUGGGGAGUACGGCCGCAAGGCUAAAACUCAAAUGAAUUGACGGGGACCCGCACAAGCGGUGGAGCAUGUGGUUUAAUUCGAUGCAACGCGAAAAACCUUACCUACACUUGACAUACUUCGAAUUUUCUAGAGAUAGAUUAGUGCCUUCGGGAACGGAGAUACAGGUGCUGCAUGGCUGUCGUCAGCUCGUGCCG